rnacentral:rRNA from 1 species
AUCGCAUCUAUACAUGCAGUCAGAACGAACGGAGGAAGAGCUUGCUCUUCCAAAGUUAGUGGCGGACGGGUGAGUAACACGUGGGCAACCUGCCUGUAAGUUGGGGAUAACUCCGGGAAACCGGGGCUAAUACCGAAUGAUAGAAUGUGGCGCAUGCCACGCUCUUGAAAGAUGGUUUCGGCUAUCGCUUACAGAUGGGCCCGCGGUGCAUUAGCUAGUUGGUAGGGUAAUGGCCUACCAAGGCAACGAUGCAUAGCCGACCUGAGAGGGUGAUCGGCCACACUGGGACUGAGACACGGCCCAGACUCCUACGGGAGGCAGCAGUAGGGAAUCUUCCGCAAUGGACAAAAGUCUGACGGAGCAACGCCGCGUGUAUGAAGAAGGUUUUCGGAUCGUAAAGUACUGUUGUUAGAGAAGAACAAGGAUAAGAGUAACUGCUUGUCCCUUGACGGUAUCUAACCAGAAAGCCCCGGAUAACUUCUUGCCCAACAGCCGGGGGUAACACCUAGGUGGGCAG